rfam:Myotis lucifugus cont2.43378, whole genome shotgun sequence.
GCCAGGGUAGCUCAGUGGUUGAGCAUAGACCUAGGUUCAAAUCCUGGUCAGGGCA